rnacentral:rRNA from 1 species
AUUGAACGCUGGCGGCAGGCUUAACACAUGCAAGUCGAACGAGUGGCGGACGGGCGAGUAAUGCUUGGGAAUGUAGCUUAUGUAGGCGUAUAACUACGGGAAACUGUAGCUAAUACCGCGUACCAUAGUAUGAGCCCAAGUGGGAUUAGGUAGGUGGUGAGGGAAAGGCUCACCAAGCCGACGAUGUCUAGCUGGUCUGAGAGGAUGACCAGCCACACUGGGACUGAGACAAGGCUCAGACUCCUACGGGAGGCAGCAGUGGGGAAUAUUGCGCAAUGGGGGAAACCUGACGCAGCAACGCCGCGUGAAUGAAGAAGGUCUUCGGGUUGUAAAGUUCUUUCGGUAGAGAGGCGUUAGCUACAGAGGAAGCAACGGCUAACUCCGUGCCAGCAGCCGCGGUAAUAC